GACGAACGCUGGCGGCGUGCUUAACACGUGCAAGUCGAACGGAAAGGCCCUGCUUUUGUGGGGUGCUCGAGUGGCGAACGGGUGAGUAACACGUGAGUAACCUGCCCUUGACUUUGGGAUAACUUCAGGAAACUGGGGCUAAUACCGGAUAGGAGCUCCUGCUGCAUGGUGGGGGUUGGAAAGUUUCGGCGGUUGGGGAUGGACUCGCGGCUUAUCAGCUUGUUGGUGGGGUAGUGGCUUACCAAGGCUUUGACGGGUAGCCGGCCUGAGAGGGUGACCGGCCACAUUGGGACUGUGAUACGGCCCAGACUCCUACGGGAGGCAGCAGUGGGGAAUAUUGCACAAUGGGCGGAAGCCUGAUGCAGCAACGCCGCGUGCGGGAUGACGGCCUUCGGGUUGUAAACCGCUUUCGCCUGUGACGAAGCGUGAGUGACGGUAAUGGGUAAAGAAGCACCGGCUAACUACGUG
rnacentral:rRNA from 1 species